AGUCUGAACUUGCCAGCAUCCAGGCAGGACGGCAGCAGCUGAGCAGAGGAGAGAGGUGGAGGAGAUGCCGCUGUCCCGUCGGUCUGGGGACAGCCCAGCUCCCCGGAUCCCGGGCUGGAGAGACGCGUCGCGGCCCCGGGGCCUGGUGGCACGAGCAGGAAGGAGGACCCGGCGGCGGGCUCUGCCUGGGCUUGCCUGGGCUUGUUCCGAGCCGGGCUGCUUCUCGGUGACCACGCAGAUCGGGGGCAUUUGGAGAUUUUGCGGGAGUCCUGCAGCCAAGCUCCGGGGCAGGAGAGGCCUGGAAGCCUGCACUACCUGCUCGCCCCGUCCCAGCAUGCACCCAGGUGCUGGGGAGAGGCAGGACAGGCCUGUCCCCCGAGUCCCCUCCGGAUGCCGUGGACCGGCCAGCUGUGAGUGUUUCUUUGGCAGUGUCUUAGCUGGUUGUUGUGAGCAAUAGUAAGGAAGCAAUCAGCAAGUAUACUGCCCUAGAAGUGCUGCACGUUGUGGGGCCCAAGAGGGAAGAUGAAGCGAGAGAUGCCCAGACCAGUGGGAGACGCCAGGACUUCGGAAGCUCUUCUGCGCCACGGUGGGUGGUGAGGGCGGCUGGGAAAGUGAGCUCCAGGGCCCCAGGAGCAGCCUGCUCGUGGGUGCGGAAGGAAAAAGGCACAGGGGCUUGGUGUGGGCGGCUUUUGGCUGGGAGAAGUUUGCACGUAGGGAGAAUAGUAGCCAGUGUUUGCAGAGCACUUACUAUGCAGGAAGGCCUGUCCUAAGUAUUGUAAGUGUAUUACAUCAUGUACAAGUGUCUGUGAUUAACCCCGUCUUGCAGAGAAGGAAACAAAAGUACAAACAGAAAAUGUAACUAAGCAUGCAAUUAAUAAAAAGGGACCAGGUUUUGAACGCGAGCAAUCUGGCUCAAGAAUCUGCGCCCAACCACCGGCUCCUGUUCUUAGAGAUGAACGUGGAGUCCUGGAGACUGCUCAACAUUGUGACUUGACUGUGAGCGUACGCGCUCCCUGUCCCCAGGAGACAGAUUUCCAGUGCAAUCAUAGAAAGUGCCUGUGUGGGCUUCGGGAGAUGUGUCUGCCUUGGGGAGAAUUUUCCUUUUCAGCUAGAGCCAGGCCCAGGAUGUUGACGUCAGUGAGACGCUGGUGACGUUCUCUGCUCCAGUGGCUGAUGAGAAAAGUUCCUCCAAGCCAGCUCAGUUGAGAAGAAUUAAGUUCUCUGGGUCCCACUGGCUUCACCUACAGAUGCCAACUUUGAGGCCAGUGAACUGUGAGGCCAGCUGGGCUGAUUGCCAUGGCAACAGGAAUUGGACCAAAGUCACCGGAGGAUGGAGAGGGAAGACACAGUGGUGGCUUCCCCAGGUCUUGGACCACAAGGCACAGCCGUGGCCUCCAGGAACCCUGAGAUAACCCGUUAGUGGGUCCUGCACUCCAACAGAGCUCAUGCAAUCAGCCUCUGGUCCUCACCCUCCUCCCAUUGGUGUCGUUGUGCUCUCUAACAUUGACAUUGAGCAGUGAGUGCUCCAGAUCUUGUUCCACUGAUUUUUUCCACUGUUCUCCAGUCUAGCACUUUCUGAAAUUCAUCCAAGCCUAAGAGGUGACGCCAAACGUAAGUGUCUUACACCUCGGACCCCAUGGACUAAGACAAGCCUCUGGGGUCCAUGUGGCACCAAGGAUGGGGCCUUCUAGUACCUUUCACACAGGCCAGGGACAGCACCUGCUGCGACCCCCACCCCCAGCCUCUGCUGCUUCUCCCGUUGCCCUUCCAGCCACUGCCCUGGGCACCUCCCCUGCUCCCGCCUCCCUGCCUGGGCCCAUCUUUCUUUGCACCUCACCAAUUGCGGGGCUUCCUAGUGCUGGAGGGGAAGGGAGCCUGCUUCCAUUCUCACCACUCUGAAAGAAGACCCUGCAGAGAGGUUUUCUGGAAUUUGGAGCCUAACCUUGGCCUUGACACAGUCCAGAUGAGAAGGCCGUCCCCCAGUUAAGCCAGCCCUCCCUCCCUCUCAAUGCUGGAGAGGAAACCAGGCAGCUGGUUGCUUCAGCAAACCCCCUCCCUAUGGGAAUUGUCCUUUUCUUCCUCAAAUAGACUGGAGUGCAGAGGACUUGCUUCAGAGAGAGCCCCUUUGUAACGCACAUUGCACGGGCCGUGCCCCAUGCCCACUCUGCCACAAACUCCCCUCAGCUGCCCAGCCCCGUGGAGCCAGGCGUGGGCUGAAGUGGGGCCAAUGAAAUGCCUGGAAUGCCAGCCGCAGUGACAGGCCAGCACUCAGAUGCCUCUCGGGAGUUCUGACCGAAGCAGCACUGAGGACUGCUUCAGAGCAGAAGUCUACGCCAUUUUCCCCAGUUCUAGGCAGAAGUAAAGAAUGUCUCUACCUUCUCCCAACCAGCAAUUGAUUCAGAGUCCUGAGCUUUUAAAUUAAAGGGACCCCUCUGUUGCUUUAUGCAGUAGCCAGCUUAUUCAUUUGAGUUCAGGUGAAAUCAUUUUCAAGUAACCUCUUCCUAUCCAGCUUUACUUUUAGUUAUGCUGACAUAAAAACAAUAAAAAUUGUCCUCCUCAGAGUUCACCUGUAAAAGUUCCUGGAUAAUUAGUAAGGAAACAGAAAGAGCAGAUAGUUGUUGCUUCAGAUAAAAGUGAUGUCUGGGUUGGGCACGGUGGCGCAUGCCUGUAAUCCCAGCACUUGGGGAGGCCCAGGUGGAUGGAUCCCUUGAGCUCAGGAGUUUCAGACCAGCCUGGGCAACAUCUCUACAAAAAAUACAAAAAUUAGCCAGGCAUAGUGGCAGGACUGUAGUCCCAGCUACUCAGGAGGCUGAGGUCAGGGGAUGGCUUGAGCCCAGGAGGCACAGAUUGAAGUGAGCUGAGAUUGCGCCACUGUAUUCCAGCCUAGGUGACAGAGCCAGACCCUGUCUCAAAUUAAAAAAAACUCUUUGUGGUCAUUUAAUUUACUUCUGCAUUCUUUUUUUUUUUUUUUUGAAAUGGGCAGUGGUACCAUCUCAGCUCACUGCAACCUCUGCCUUGGGGGUUCAAGUGAUUCUCCUGCCUCAGCCUCCCGAGUAGCUGGGAUUACAGGCACCCGCCACCACGCCCAGCUAAUUUUUGUAUUUUUAGUAGAGACGGGGCUUUGCCAUGUUGACCAGGCUGGACUCAAACUCCUGACCUCAGGUGAUCCGCCCACCUCGGCCUCCCAAAGCACUGGGAUUACAGGAAUGAGCCACUGCACUCGGCCUACUUCUGCAUUCCUUAGAGUACAUCCUAGCUAGGAUAUAUUCACUUGUCUUUAGAGCUAACAGCAGAAGAAAGGUACCUAGAUGCUUAUCUAGCUCUUUAUCUUUCUAGAAAUUCUAGAAGAUGAGAGGGGCAGUGGUGGCUCCAAGGGAGUGAUUUUAGGAUGGACUGGGACAGAGAGGGGCUGCUUACACAUACUCACACAGAGGCCAUUAAUUUAGGGAGUUCAAGGUCCAGGAGGUUGACGGCAUCUAGGCCUGUGGCAGAGUGCACUCCUGCUUUGGGGAAUGUAUGGGCAGCUUCUUGCCUGUAGUUGGAGGGUUAGAGAGAGGGAUCAAUAAUUUCAUGGUUGGACUUGAGUUUGGAGCGAGUGGAGUUAGAUACAAAUUCUAUGUUUUUGGAGAAAGUAUUUGAUCUUCUUGGCUGUGAGGCAAAGCGAGGUUUAAAAAUAUUUUUCACUUAAAAAUAUAUAUAUAUGCAUGUAUAUUUAAUACUGUCUAUGGAUUGUGCCAAUAUCUAUUUCAUGGUUUUGAUAUUGUGUAGUUAUACAAGGAGUUACCACUGAACGAAACUGGGGGAAGGGUACACAGAAUCUCUGUACUUUUUUUGUUGUUGUUGCAAUUUCCUGUAAAUCUAUGAUUAUUUUAAAAUAAAAAAGUUAAAGCAUACGUAUUUACAUUUGAUUAAAUGCAGUGUGAUAUCCUGGGUUGGAUUUUGGAACAAAACAAGGCAUGAGUGAAAAAACUGGUAAAAUCCAAAAAAGCCUUUAGUUAAAAGUAAUACCAGUGUUAAUUUCUUAGUUUUGACAAAUGUGCCAUGGCUGUGUAAGAUGCAAAUGUUAGAGGAAACUGGGCGAAGAAUUUGAGGGAACUCUCUGUACUAUUCUUUGCAGCUUUUCUGUAAAUCUACAAUUAUUCCAAAAUAAAAGUCUAUUAAAAAUGUAAGUAUACACACACACAUUUAUAUUUGAACACAUCUAGGCAGCCAAUGCCCUUAAAGAAGGCACUUUCUUCAAACGAUGCCUCUGGGAUGGGUGAAUAAUUAAGGGCCCCUUUGACAACUGUGCUGCGGGUUAUGUCACUCCCUAAUUUGGCUGUCUGGGAAGAGGGAACCCUAGAGAGCUUUUAAAACCAAAUAGAGUCCGGGCGCAGUGGCUCACGCCUGUAAUCCCAGCACUUUGGGAGGCCGAGGUGGGCAGAUCACCUGAGGUCAGGAGUUCGAGACCAGCCUGGCCAACAUGGUGAAACCCCGUCUUACUAAAAAUACAAAAAUUAGCUGGGCGUGGUGGUGGGCGCCUGUAAUCCCAGUUACUUGGGAGGCUGAGGCAGGAGAAUCGUUUGAACCCAGGAGGCGGAGGUUGCAGUGACCCGAGAUCACACCAUUGCACUCCAGCCUGGGCAACAAGAGCGAAACUCCGUCUCAAAAACAAAAAACAAACAAAAAACCAAAAAAAAAAAAAAAAAAUAGGAACCCUGAUCACAAGUCAGAGAGAGUUAAUUGUAAUACAACCCCAUUUUCCAGGCUAGAAACUGAGGCACAGUUGGGAACUGAUGCAAUUAGAUUGUAAUUUCCUGGAAUAUUUAAAAC
rnacentral:lncRNA from 1 species